rnacentral:rRNA from 1 species
GACGAACGCUGGCGGCGUGCUUAACACAUGCAAGUCGAACGGGGCUGCUAUGAUGGAGUUUUCGGACAACUGAUUAGUAUGCCUAGUGGCGGACGGGUGAGUAACGCGUGAGUAACCUGCCUUUCAGAGGGGGACAACAGCUGGAAACGGCUGCUAAUACCGCAUAAUAUAUACAGGUCGCAUGAUUUGUAUAUCAAAGAUUUAUCGCUGAAAGAUGGACUCGCGUCUGAUUAGCUAGUUGGCGGGGUAACGGCCCACCAAGGCGACGAUCAGUAGCCGGACUGAGAGGUUGACGGCCACAUUGGGACUGAGAUACGGCCCAG